UACGUAGGGUGCGAGCGUUGUCCGGAAUUACUGGGCGUAAAGAGCUCGUAGGUGGUUUGUCGCGUUGUUCGUGAAAUUCCCUGGCUUAACUGGGGGCGUGCGGGCGAUACGGGCAGACUGGAGUACUGCAGGGGAGACUGGAAUUCCUGGUGUAGCGGUGGAAUGCGCAGAUAUCAGGAGGAGCACCGGUGGCGAAGGCGGGUCUCUGGGCAGUAACUGACGCUGAGGAGCGAAAGCGUGGGGAGCGAACAGG
rnacentral:rRNA from 1 species